UGAACUCAGUUUAAAAGUGGAUGUUUGAAAGAAAGUCUAUGGACCUCAUUGUUGGUUUUUGCAAGCGUGGGAACAAUUCUGUGAAAGGCGUUCCUUGUAGAUAGAUGGUAUACAUCGCAUUGGGCGGAGUGCCUACUUCUCACAUCCUUACGUUGCCUCACUACCUCAACUUCUCUUUGAGGUAAGAAUUCCCUAAUUUGCUAUGAAGAUGAUUUUUGAAUGAGUCAGAGCUAGAGGGCUUAUUUACUAUGCAAAAAUGGUGAGUUGCAUCGCAACGUUGCAAAGUUUCCUUGACAGCACCAGGGUUGCCACAGUCAGGGAAAUGUCAGGG
rnacentral:lncRNA from 1 species